CAUAGGUCGUAUUAAUUACCACGUCCUAGCGACGGAGAGGGCUGCCACGUGAAGAUGGUUGAGUGGAUGAAGAGAUGACGUAUGAGUGAUCUGACAGAGGACAUUUACAGGUAGUACGCCUGAGAGGGUGCAUGAUUCAGCCGCUGGAUUUCCUACGUUCAAAAGCACAUGGAUCAAAGAGGCCGUGGAGAAUAUUCAUGGAUGUUCUCAGCACACAGCCAAUCAUAUCGAUCAUGAGGCAAAAACCCCACUCGUCAGUCUCGUUCACAACGGCGAUAAGUCUGCAUAUUGACAGGAGGUGGCGCGACUGGUGUACUGAUGCAACCCGGACUCCAACGCGCUCAAGACCGUAGAGAUGAUUGUGGACUCCUUCAUUAUAGAUGCGUCCGGUGCUCUAUGUCAACCAUCAAGACUUUCCUCAGAGUUACAAUCUCUCAGCGCCUGAAGUGAGAGGAAAAACAUCGACCCCAUCCGCAAAAACCCCCAGCUGAGGAUCUCCGUCCCGCCGCUGCCGAGAAAGCACGGCCUGCCGCAGGAGCCGUUCUGGCGCUUGUGUACAGAACUCGCUGAAUCGGUUCUGCGUUCAUCCAUCGCAGUCUGGUUUGGUGUGGCCACAAAGUGGGACAAAAUCCGACAACAAAAGACAGUUGCGAGUGCUGAGAGGAUCAUCGGCACCCCCUGCCCACUCUUUAGUAUUUGAACAGUACAAGAACUAAGUUAAGGGCAGGAAAAAUCCCCCCGGACUCACCCCACCCCAAGGACUACCUUUUCCAGCUCCCCACAUCUUUCAGCGCUGUCAAACAAUGCCAAACCAGCCGAUAUUCCAAUAUCAUUUUUUUCCCCAUUUUCCAAACCGCUUAUCCUGGCGAAACUUGGAUGAUUUGAACAUCUCUCUUUAGUUUGAUUAGGACUGAAGUCAUUUUUGUGGAUCCGUUGAUCCGCAUCAUUUGCACACUUUUUGAUAAGUGUCACUGCAAAUACCGGACAUUCAUUUUGCUUAAUUACUCUCAGAACGAUAAACAAAAAUGUUUGUCAAAAUUGUACGUGACGUUGACGUUUAUUUUUGUUGCCGUAGUACCGUAAUUUCCGGCGACUUUUUUCACACGCUUUCAACCCUGCGGUUUAUGCGGUAAUUAAGAUAAUUUGAGCAUUUUUUUCUAAUGACCACAAGGAGGCACUGUGCACUCGAGCGGAGAAGGUAAGAAUGAGACCAGUGGAAUUUAUGUGCUGAGGAAGGGACUUUUACCGGCCCAGUUAGCGCUGCGCUACCUUGUUGCUGCUGUGUUACUGGCGUGCCUCAGUGAUAUUUACAGGUAAGUUUUAUUUUAACUGGCCCUGUUAGCGCUAGGCAUGGCGUUAGCGCUAGCAUGCGUUAAACUCUGUGUGCAGUCUUUCUUUGUAAAUAUCUUGUUUCAAUGUGGGCACUUGUGGAUUUUACACACCUGCGGCGUAUCUAUGUACCAAAUGGUAUUUCCUUUACAAAUGUACUCAGUGAGGCUUGUAACCAGGUGCGCUUUGUACGCCGGGAAUUACGGUACUCGAGUGGCUCCAACUAUAAAUUCCUUUUUAACUUACUUGGUCAACGAAACAGAUUGUGAUGGAUCAGUAAGAAAAGAAACUUCCUGAUCCCCAAGUUAGGUUGGUGUAACUCAAGACCACCACGCCAGAAAGUUUGGUGGGUAUCACCCAAGUAGUUUGAUUUGGUAAACAGAAACUCGAUUGUAAAUUGCAAAUGUCCCCUCAGAUCGUCGUGAUACAGUGAUGUUAUUUUGAACGUGGUGCCCCCAAAAGUAAUUUAUUCUUGAGAAAACAAGUGAGGGAAAAAAUAUGAAAAACGACACGUUGAGAACAGAUGUUUGUAUCACUUUUGGGGAAGAUUUCAGACAUUAAGACUUAAUGGAAGUGCACAAUGUCGUAAGAACUUAAAGUCCAGCUGAUAUUUCACCAGAUUUUUGCCCACUUCAAGAUGUCUUUUCCAAGACCGGGAAACCCAUUAAAUUGUCGCUCAACCCAAGAUAAGAAUGCGGAUGGUAGGAUUAUAUUUUCUCUUGCGGCUUUUGAAUCUCAAUACAAUUGUUAACCUUGGAAUUCAGAACGGAGAAUACGAAUAUUUCAGUCCUGUCAUCGCGUCAUUCCUCGUGAACCAGAAAUGAGCUCGCUACUUCCCGAAAAACUGACAAAAACUCACCCACCGUAUACCCCGGAAUUGGCCAACUAACAAACCUCAGUGAAAAUGCGUCUUGUGCCACCAAACAAAAAUGUUACAAAAAGUACAUUUAGAAUACUGACAUGAGAAUCUCAAUUUACUCACAAAUUGACUUAUUCACCGUGCGCAGGUGGGUAUACUGAUUAAUUUCCUGUAUGUACCUUCUGUCAUCAAGUAGGCAUUAAUUAUUUUACAAUUGAAACUAUGUGAGUGCACAUGUCAUUGAAACAAUGAGUCACAGCCCCGGAACGAUGAGUCCCUGAAACUCAUCAUCACGGGAUAGAUCAAAUCAUUUUCAGCUCGAUUGAGCUUCUCUGCUUUAUUGCAGAUUUUUAUGACACUUGUUACUUUUAUACUGUUUGAACAAGUUUUGUUGCUCUUGCUCUCAAUAUAUUGUAAAAAAAAGGUUCAGCAUUAACAAUAGUAUAUUUUUUUUUAUUGCAUCGAUAUGAUGGCGGCAUGGUGGGGUCACGGGUUAGAGCGUUGGCCUCACAGUUCUGAGGACCAGGGUUCAGAUCACAGCCCCACCAGGGCUCAUACUUUUAGUGAAAAAUGGUUCGUAUAAGGGCGGCACGGUUGGAUCAGCUGGUAAAGCGUUGGCCUCACAGUUCUGAGGUCCUGGGUUCAAUCCCGGACCCGCCUGUGUCGAGUUUGCAUGUUCUCCCCGUGCCUGCGUGGGUUUCCUACGGGCACUCCGAUGUCCUCCCACAACCCAAAAACAUGCAACAUUAAUUGGAAUUGAUCUAAAUUGCCCCUAGGUGUGAUUGUGAGUGUGGGUAUUUGUCUCGACGUGCCCUGCGAUUGAUUCGCAACCAGUUCAGGGUCUACCCCGCCUCCUGCCCGUUGACAGCUGGGAUAGGCUCCAGCACACCCCGCGACCCUUGUGAGGAUAAGCGGCAAAGAAAAUCGAUGGUUCGUUGAAGCACUUUAGCAACACACACAAACGGUCGUAGGGUCGCCACGUUUCUGCGUCCCUGAGGAUUUUCCAGACGUGGGACGCACGUCAAACAGGAUCCAUGAGUAGGGGAACCUUUAAUUGUUCUGCCAGUCACGGUACAUCACUGGCAUUGGAAUAACAAUACAUCAGAAGUAAUGAAAUAGUAUUUAGCAAUGAAGUAUUGUAGUACGUAGUGUCACUUAAUCUGCUUUGGCACAGUGAUUAGGAAUCGCAGAGAGACUGCUUUUCUGCUUACUUGCUGUAUCCCCUCCCUGCAUUGCACGACGUGGUAGUGGUCCCUUUUAGCCUCUAGGGGCUGCUUGAGGAAGGCUGCAAGAUUUUGCCUAAGCGAUCUGCGCGAGGCGGUCGGGGAUGAUUGCGUCGCCUCUGGAGGAUCACAGUGGGGGGAAAAAAAGCUGCUGCCAGGGAGGCUGCUGACUGCUUCUCUGAGAUCCUCUGUAUGGUAACUGUGUCAUACACUUUGGUCACUUCGCUUUUUACAUAACUUGAUGCAUGUUUGAGGAUAUUUUUUUACCUAAUAAACGGUAGGCGCCACGGUGGCCUCAGUUCUGAGGUCCCGGGUUCAAUCCCGGACCCGCCUUUGUGGAGUUUGCAUGUUCUCCCAGUGCCUGCGUGGGUUUUCUCCGGGCACUCCGGUUUCCUCCCACAUCCCAAAAACACGCAACAUUAACUGGACACUCGAAAUGGCCCCUAGGUGUGAUUGUGAGUGCGGCUGUUUGUCUCUGUGCGAUUGGCCGGAAACCUGUUCGGGGUGUACCCCGCCUCCUGCCCGUUGACAGCUGGGGUAGCCUCCAGCACGCCCCACGACCCUUGUGAGGAUAAGUGGCUAAGAAAAUGGAUGGAUGGAUGGAUGACUGAAGGGUGUGCUUGAGAAGGAAAGAAAUAUUAUUGGAGUGGAGACCGAAGACAGCAUGACAACAGACUGCUGUAAACUGUUGUGGGGAUAAGCAGCUAAGAAAAUGGAUGGAUGUGCUUGGGAAGGAAACAAAUAUAUUGGAGUGGAGACUGAAGGCAGCAUGAAAACAGACUGCAGUAAGCUGUUGUGAGGAUAAGCAGCUAAGAAGAUGGAUGGAUGGAUGGAUGGAAGACUGAAGGGUGUGCUUGGGAAGGAAACAAAUAUAUUGGACUGGAGACUGAAGGCAGCAUGAGAAACGACUGCUGUAAGCUGUUGUGGGGAUAAGCGGCAAAGAAAAUGGAUGGAUAAAUGGUAUGACUGGAUUAAACCAAUGAUAUUAUCUUUAUGUCACGAUAAAUCAGUUUAUGUAAGAUGAAAAGAAAGUGGAAAUAUUCUCAUUUGGUUUGCCAAACUAACUCCGUGGCUGGUAUUUGCUGUUUGGAGUUUAGCUUUUUUCUAUUCUAGCUAUUUCAUUAAAUUAUCAACAUUCAUAUAUUGACCGCGCAGUAAUGAUACAUGUACAGCGACUUCAGCUCACAAGCAGCACAUCGCCACUUUUUUUUUUUUUUUGCGAGCCAGUUUACGCAUAAUCAUAGCACAAGUGCUUGAGCUAAGACACCCACUCACUGAAAUCCCCCCAAAAACGCCCGAAGCCCUCUGAAACUGCAGGAGGCCGGAUUUUGCCAUCACUGCAGCCGCCCAGUUUAUUACCCGGACGGGGAUGUGGUGAACCAAAGUGAGGUCACAUCAGGUUUUUGAGCCGCUCGUCCAGCAGAUUUUUCUCCAAAUCCAACCGAUGUCCCCCAACCAACCCUCUUCAUCCUUAUGCUCAGUUUUCUUGAGUCACCUGCUCGCUUUCCUCAGCAUAAAUUCCUCACAGCAGUUGAAAAACAAGUCACAAUUAAUUGAGAUUAUCGGUUACUUGUCUCCCUUCUGGGCCAAAUCAAAGCCGUGAGAAAUUAUUACAUAAUUAUUGACAAUGAGAUAGCGCCCUUUUGGGGCCAAACACGCCGAUUAGAUUAUUGGCAAUGCGAUUGACGUGAAGCUGUUGUGGCGGACGGAGUUGAGAUCAAAAAUCCCCUCGUUGAGGGGCAAACCCUCCCACCCCGUCGGAUUCUGUCACACGCAGACACAGCGUAUGGACGCACUCGCACGUCGCGAAUGGGACGAGGAGCCUCAUCGCCCAAACCCGACGCCACGUCUGACCGGACCGCAAGA